rnacentral:tRNA from 1 species
UCCCUGGAGGACUAGUGGUUAGGCCUCGGCGCUCUCACCGCCAUGUCCCUGGUUCAAUUCCCGGCCAGGGAA